rfam:Pseudogymnoascus pannorum VKM F-4513 (FW-928) contig_3361, whole genome shotgun sequence.
UGUGUGUUAGUUUAAUAGGCAGAGCUUUGUGCUACGGACACAAUAAUACAGGUUCGAGUCCUGUACUCACUU